GAUCCUGGCUCAGAAUCAACGCUGGCGGCGUGCCUAACACAUGCAAGUCGAACGCGGUUACCCCGCAAGGGGUAACUGAGUGGCGAACGGGUGAGUAACACGUGGGUGACCUACCUUCGAGUGGGGGAUAACGUCCCGAAAGGGACGCUAAUACCGCAUAACAUCCUUCCUUUGAACAGGAGGAGAUCAAAGCCGGGGAUCGUAAGACCUGACGCUUGAUGAGGGGCCCGCGUCUGAUUAGCUAGUUGGUGAGGUAAUGGCUCACCAAGGCGACGAUCAGUAUCCGGCCUGAGAGGGCGGACGGACACACUGGGACUGAGACACGGCCCAGACUCCUACGGGAGGCAGCAGUGGGGAAUUGUUCACAAUGGGCGCAAGCCUGAUGACGCAACGCCGCGUGGAGGAUGAAGGUCUUCGGAUUGUAAACUCCUGUUGCUCGGGACGAAAUGCUUCGACCUAAUACGUCGAAGUUUGACGGUACCGAGUGAGGAAGCCCCGGCUAACUCUGUGCCAGCAGCCGCGGUAAUACAGAGGGGGCAAGCGUUGUUCGGAAUUACUGGGCGUAAAGGGCGCGUAGGCGGCCUGUUAAGUCGAACGUGAAAUCCCCGGGCUCAACCCGGGAACUGCGUCCGAAACUGGCAGGCUCGAAUUCGGGAGAGGGAUGCGGAAUUCCAGGUGUAGCGGUGAAAU
rnacentral:rRNA from 1 species